rfam:Clostridiales bacterium 41_12_two_minus Ley3_66761_scaffold_5481, whole genome shotgun sequence.
ACUGUGGAGUGUACAAGAACUUGUGAGUAGACAGAACUUCGGUUCGUCAAAAGCAUACACGAUGAAGCAGUAA